rnacentral:rRNA from 2 species
GCGGCGGACGGGUGAGUAACACGUGGGUAACCUGCCUGUAAGACUGGGAUAACUCCGGGAAACCGGGGCUAAUACCGGAUAACACCUCGGAUCGCAUGAUCCGAAGUUGAAAGAUGGUUCUGCUAUCACUUACAGAUGGACCCGCGGCGCAUUAGCUAGUUGGUGAGGUAGUGGCUCACCAAGGCAACGAUGCGUAGCCGACCUGAGAGGGUGAUCGGCCACACUGGGACUGAGACACGGCCCAGACUCCUACGGGAGGCAGCAGUAGGGAAUCUUCCGCAAUGGACGAAAGUCUGACGGAGCAACGCCGCGUGAACGAUGAAGGCCUUCGGGUCGUAAAGUUCUGUUGUUAGGGAAGAACAAGUACCAGAGUAACUGCUGGUACCUUGACGGUACCUAACCAGAAAGCCACGGCUAACUACGUGCCAGCAGCCGCGGUAAUAC